UACAGAGGUCUCAAGCGUUGUUCGGAUUCAUUAGGGGCGUAAAGGGUGCGUAGGGUGGUCGCUGUAAGUCGGGUGUGAAAUUUCGGAGCUUAACUCCGAAACUGCAUUCGAGUACUGCGGUGCUUGAGGACUGGAGAGGAGACUGGAAUUCAUGGUGUAGCAGUGAAAAUGCGUAGAGAUCAGGAGGAACACCCGUGGCGAAGGCGGCCCUCUGGCUCGACCCUGACCGCUGAGAGGCGAAAGCGUGGGGAGCGAACGGG
rnacentral:rRNA from 1 species